rnacentral:rRNA from 1 species
GACGAACGCUGGCGGCGUGCUUAACACAUGCAAGUCGAACGGAAAGGCCCUGCUUUUGUGGGGUGCUCGAGUGGCGAACGGGUGAGUAACACGUGAGUAACCUGCCCUUGACUUUGGGAUAACUUCAGGAAACUGGGGCUAAUACCGGAUAGGAGCCCCUGCUGCAUGGUGGGGGUUGGAAAGUUUCGGCGGUUGGGGAUGGACUCGCGGCUUAUCAGCUUGUUGGUGGGGUAGUGGCUUACCAAGGCUUUGACGGGUAGCCGGCCUGAGAGGGUGACCGGCCACAUUGGGCCUGAGGUACGGCCCAGACUCCUACGGUAGGCAGCAGUGGGAAAUAUUGCCCAAUGGGCCGAAGCCUGAUGCAGCAACGCCGCGUGCGUGAUGACGGCCUGCGGGUUGUAAACCGCAUUCGCCUGUGACGAAGCGUUAGUGACGGUAAUGGGUGAAGAAGCACCGGCUAACUACGUG